CCCUAUCUGCCGUGGGUGUAGGAUACUUGAGAGGAGUUGCCCCUAGUACGAGAGGACCGGGGUGAACGAUCCACUGGUGGACCUGUUGUUGCGCCAGCAGCAGUGCAGGGUAGCUAUGAUCGGACAGGAUAACCGCUGAAGGCAUCUAAGCGGGAAGCCCCCCUCAAAACAAGGUAUCCCUGAGAACCGAGAUAGACCAUCUCGUCGAUAGGCCGGAGAUGUAAGCGCAGCAAUGCGUUCAGUUGACCGGUACUAAUUGUCCGAUAGGCUUGAU
rnacentral:rRNA from 1 species